GGUUCAGUAGGUUGGUCGUGCCACCGGUACGUACUGGUCUCACUGAUUCCUCCUUCCUGAAGAACCGUAAUGCCAUUAAUUUGGUGUUGCGGGGAAACAGGACUGUUACUUUGAAAAAAUUAGAGUGUUUAAAGCAAGCUAACGCUUGAAUACAUUAGCAUGGAAUAGUGAAAUAGGACGAUCGAUCCUAUUUUGUUGGUUUCUAGGAUUGACGUA
rnacentral:rRNA from 1 species